rfam:Gossypium raimondii Chr12_contig_854, whole genome shotgun sequence.
UGUACAAAAAUUCAUUCAUUUGUAUUGUUAAGAACUGGUGCGGUUAACAGAAUAACCAAACAGUGACACGUGGUAGGUGUACCACGUGUACCUAGUGUUGACGUAUAAUGACCAGUUUUUAACAGUAGAAAUGGAUGGAAUUUUUUACA